rnacentral:SRP_RNA from 1 species
CCGUGCAGCUGGGGAGGCGGCGGCGCCCUGUACCUGCAAUCCGCCAUAGCAGGAGUGAUAUCCCGCCCCGGACCGACUGGUCGGAAGCUGCCCUGUAUAAGUGGCGUUGAUGUCCGGGUCCUGCGCAACAGGAACCCGUGAACCGUGUCAGGUUGGGAACAAAGCAGCACUAAGCGGGACCUUCUGUGUGCCGCAGGGGUGCCUGGGCUGAGUUAACUGU